GUUAAAACAAGUAUAUAAAGGAUUGGUAGUGCUUUUUUGUCAUCUUUUAUCUUUCUUCCUUCACCGAAAUUAACCUAAAGGAAAUCAAGAAGCCAUUGUUGAAGCUUUAUGGCAUUCGACCCUUUAAUUAAUAGAUUCUCGGAUUAUAUGUAUCAUUGGUUUAGCCUGGACUGAUAACCUCGAUACGAUGUUAGCUUGUGUGAGCAAAUUCAUAAAUGUUAGCUUGUGUGAGCAAUGUCAACUUGUAUAAGCAACCUUGAUCACCUUCAGCUUGUGUGAGAACUAUAGCCUCGUGUAUCUGCGUUCGAUUUACUAAAGUUCUUUCGGGCGAAAAUGUAACCUAAUGGAAAUGGAAUUAUUGAAAUGGAUUGAAUUACAUAUGCUUUCAAAUUGAA